rnacentral:rRNA from 1 species
UACGUAGGGUGCAGGCGUUAAUCGGAAUUACUGGGCGUAAAGCGUGCGCAGGCGGUUCGUUGUGUCGGUGGUGAAAGCCCCGGGCUUAACCUGGGAAUGGCCUGGAAACUGGCGAACUGGAGUGUGGCAGAGGGGGGUGGAAUUCCGCGUGUAGCAGUGAAAUGCGUAGAGAUGCGGAGGAACACCGAUGGCGAAGGCAGCCCCCUGGGCUAGCACUGACGCUCAGGCACGAAAGCGUGGGGAGCAAACAGG